CCGAACUAAUGGCAAAAGAGAAGCCACACCAGCAAUACUUCCUGUGAGUGAAGUACUUCUGGGGUUAGAAAGUGCUACCCAUUCAUUAUUCAUUCUCUCUCCUGCUAGGUUUCUGAACCUGGACUGGGUAGGGGAACCAUAAAGUAUAAGGCUGCUUUCCUGGCCACCAGCCCUUUCGGUGACUCCCAAAGAAGCCCCAAAUCUGAUAUCCAGGCGUGUGUGUUGGUGUGAACCUGUUACAACACUACGUGCUUCUGGGAGCAUAUGCGCACACAGGCCUCUGGGGGCAGCAUGGCUCCAAACCCAAACACCCCACGCUGUGUAGCCCCAGCUCUGGCUUGGCCCUGAAGAGGUCUAGGGCCCCUCCUACCUGCAAACACUGCGGAGCAGUAGGCAUCGCUGAUGUCCGUGUCUGGGGUGUGGACGUUUUCGGCAUAGAGGAUGAAGA